UUGAAAGGGAAACGAUUGAAGUCAGUCGUACCAGCGGGAAAUCAACCUUUCGAGUGGGGUUUUGGAGUUUUGAAGUGUGUCAAAACCUUGAAGAUUUCAAAAUUUUCGCUCUUUUGGUGUACUUUCUCGCAGGUAGGUUAACAUCGAUUUUGAUCAUCAUAAAAGGAUUGGAGGAAUGUAGCUUCGAUCUCGUAUUGAAGUGUUAUAGCCUUUGGUAAAUGUGAUGAUUAGGAUCGAGGAUUGCAACGAAUACCCUUUUGGGCUAUCCGCCUGAUCUCUGAUACGUGACCUUGGUAUUGAAAGCGUGCUUAUGAUAUUAAGGUAUUACGGUCAAAAGGUUAGAACGGAUUACAUUCGUUAAGGAUGUUGACGUA
rnacentral:rRNA from 1 species